GAGACGGAUAUGUCAAUUUCACUUCACACAUAGAUUUAAUUUUUUAUAGUUUUGAAAAUUUGAUUAGAUUCAGGGGUGGACCGACGCGCUGAGGUGAGGCCCUCACCGAGUGCAGGUGACCCGUUUCGAUAUAUAAAUGUCAAACGCCGCAUUGGAAGAGACAAUGUGCUGCACUGACUUCGGUCUGACUCUCAAUAAUGAAAACAAGAUUGAUUUUGUCUAAUUCAUGAUUUGUUUCUUUCCAUGUCCUGUCCUACGAGAAAAAUCAGGAAUAGGAGGUAAACAAGGAAUAAGUGCUGCAUUGACUUUUACUUUGAAACAUUGGGCUAAUUCAGAAUUUUAACAACGGUGAGCGCACUAUUACGAAGAUAUGAAUUCCAAGAUUUAAAUUUAGCAGGUUUAACCUUUAGGUUUUUAUCAUUGAAACGAAUAUGCUUUUAUAUUAGAGGUUCUAAUUAUUAUUUUUGAAAUUUAGUAAUCUUUACAUAUAUAUCUAAUCCAGCAGAACUGGUUGAUUAUAUAUCAUCCAUUGCUGCUAGUUUUAAACUUUUAAUAUAGACAUUUGAUUUUGAUUAUGUCAUUUUACGAUGAAAAGGAAAAUAGGGAUUCAAUGUGCCAGACUUGUGAAUUUUGCAGUAAAAAACCUAACGAAAAAAGAGAAAAAUGUAUAAUUCUUUAAAAAGGAAAAAGUAAUAAGAUGAACAUGGGAUUUGAACACCCGACCUCACUUAUAGAGGUGCAUCCAAUAACAAUUACAUCAUAUGACUCUUUGAACUUGGGUGCACGCACGCGUGCACACAGAUGUGUGUGUUGUUUCGAAGAUAUUUUUCUUGACUGAGCAUUUUAUUCAUCUUUCAAACAAGAGAUUUACAAUUAUAUGCAGGAGCUGAACAUAACUACAAGCCCUCCUAAUAUAUCAUACUCAAAAAAUAGUUUGAACUAUCUUCAAUACAAUGAGAUAUAUAUGAAGUAAAUGUAAUUAGUAAGAGGAACAUAAUCGCUAUACAAAUGGAGGAGUUCAUCCACAAAAAAUAUGUCAACAGUUGCAGUAAUACAUUCAGGGUGGAUCAAAGACAAUUUCUGCUUUCUUACUAUUUGAUGAGAUUACAGCUGGUAUCCCCCAUCUAUUCAUAGUCAUAAGACCUCUGACUUGUGUUGGUAAUUGCACAAAGUUGUUGAAAAGUUGAGAUUGUAUGUAACUGUGAUUUAUCUUCUCUGAGGCAUAAGCAGAUGAGGAAUAUUUUUGUAUAGAGUGGGUCCAGUUGAGUUGCUGUAGCUAACAUUUUGCCUAAGACACUGGACCCUCUUUGUUUCUUUGUAUAUUUGUGAGAACUUGUAUUAGCUUAAUUAUUUACGUGCUGUUGUUGGCUGCGUACUAUAACAGAGGUUGGUUUUAUA